ACAAAACAAAGCUAUUAUAAAGAUGUUUGUCAUUUACUGAUAUCUUCCAUAUAUUCCCCCAAACUGGGUGUCCUCAGUAAGGAAUAACAAUGAGCAAAUUCAGUGUUACAGUGUUAUCUGUUCUUUAAUGCCUUACUGGAACACAUGAAAGGAAAAUGAAGACAUAGGAACCGGGGGUGAUUUGUUUCUAGACCAUGAUGAGGGACUUGGAAUUUGCCAAUGCAGGACACACAAGUCCCUGGCAGGGCGGUCAUGACGUAGUGAAGACGACACCAUGUUCCGUAAGAUGCUUUCGGAAUGCAACGUCCAGGAAGCCUCCAAAGGAAUUUUGCAGGAAACCAAUAUGGAUACUUUGAAAAUAAAAGGAAAGGAAAAAAGAAAAAAAAAAAAACCUGUCAACAACCCAUCACUGGCAGCAGGGGAGUGUGCAUAAAUGCGGGUGGGGGACAAAGGCUCGGGACUGGAGCUAAGCCGGUGUGAAUCGAGGCUGCAUGUGCCUGGGUGUAGUGGACCGUGCACACUUGGGGAAAUGCACGUGGUGCAAUGAGCCUCUCCAUUUUCAGAAUUGUGAGGGUGAGCGAGAGGGGCUGCCCGGCGUGUGCAGACUCUGCGCCGGCUCGUCUGUUUGGGGAGCUGUUGGUUAUCUUUAGGGAUGGGAAGACAUACAAGAAAGCAACCAGUUACUGGAUUAUAUGAGGAAGGCUGUGACAGAGGCCAUACCGGAUGCUGCAGGAACACAGAAAAAGAAGGAUCUACGCCCUUUGAUGAAUUCCCAGGAAGCCUUCCCAGAUGUGUCAGUGGGCUCUUGAAGGGUGCUCAUCUACUGGAAAGGCUUCAACUUUCACCUUUGCUGAUGACGUUCCAGUCCCAGUCUGCCCAAUCUGAAUUCUUCCUCAGCCUCUGCUUAGCUUCCUAUCCUCCGUUCCUUCUCCUAUGAUCUAGGCAGACAUUGAGGAUUAUGCCUGGCACAUUUUCUCAGAGGGCCAAGGCACAGCCUUAAUUUUCUACUCAACUGGGAGCUCUAGGCACCCAUUACCAUUCAGAGUUGGCAUUCGAGACAAAAACUAUUUUUUUCCUGAAUCUAGUCCUUUUAAUUUUAAGCACCUUAAGGAAUAUACCUUUUAAAGUGUCUUGAAGGAUUUCAUUCCCCCAUUCAUUCAGCAAACUGUAAAGAGCUUCCCAUGUGCUGCCUGUUGAAUGCAACAUCCUCCCUCUCAAACCCUCUCCUGCUCAACAGGUCCCCUGCUAUCAAUGAUACCAGCAAUAGCACUGAAAGAAUAAAUAUACACCAGAUAACACAGGUGAGUGGGCACAGCUCUCCAUGCCACCCUAGUUCCUCACAAAGGCAUGCCCAAUAUUUGGAGGUACUGACAGCCUUAGAGGAAGGAGAAAUCCACCAGGUCAGAAAAAUUCUGAGCUGUAGGCUUGCUGCCUUUCUUACCUACAUUUGAGGAAAGGCCAGGUUAGCAUCCAAGAGUCCACCCUAUCACCAUAUAAAGAAUUCCAUGCCAGACACAUAUACUUCUAUUUCCUAAUGCUGGUCCUGGGUCUACAGUGGUCUUAUUAUAAUCAGUAGACCAUUCUAGUUCAAGCCCUUAUCCCCUCCUAUAUGGAUAACUGUAACAGACUCUCCUCUCCAGUUCAUCCUAUAAAUGCCAUAGCCAAACUCUACCCCAAUUUUAACUCCUAGUAAUUACUGAUUUGUUCUAUAGGUUGGUGCAACAGUAAUUGCGGUUUUCACCAUUAAAAGUAAUGGCGAAAGUAAUGCUUAGCCUCCUAUUUGGCGAAACUGUAAUGGUGAAAACUGUAAUUACUGUUGCAUCAACCUAAUACAACACUGCAAUUUUGUUUUUUAAGAAUUUCAAAUAGGCCAGGCACGGUGGCUCACACCUGUAAUCCCAGCACUUUGG
rnacentral:lncRNA from 1 species